GCACUGCUGAGGAGUGCCACAAUAGAACGAAACGGCCGUCCAGCGC
rfam:Schistosoma mattheei strain Denwood, Zambia genome assembly, scaffold: SMTD_scaffold0007946